rnacentral:RNase_P_RNA from 1 species
UAGGUAUUAGAGAUAGUCGCAUUUCAUUAUGAAGUGAGGAAAGUCCGGACUUCGCAGGGCAAAAGGACAGUUAACGGCUGUUGGAAGUAAUUCUAAGGAAAGUGCCACAGAAAAUAAACCGCCAUUUAUGGUAAGGGUGAAAAGGUGAUGUAAGAGAUCACCGCUGUAUUUUGAAAAAAAUCAGGCAUGGCAAACCCCCUUUGAAGCAAAACCAAAUAGAAGAACAGAUAGAAUUGCCCGUUCUUGUUCUAGGGUAGGUUGCUAAAGCUUUUGUGUGAAUAAAAGCGUAGAUAAAUGACUAUCAAAUACAAAAUCCGGCUUAUACUAAUGCCUAUUAG